rnacentral:rRNA from 1 species
UACGGAGGAUGCGAGCGUUAUCCGGAUUUAUUGGGUUUAAAGGGUGCGUAGGCGGGUUGUUAAGUCAGUGGUGAAAGCGUGUGGCUCAACCAUACCAAGCCAUUGAAACUGGCGACCUUGAGUGCAAACGAGGUAGGCGGAAUGUAACGUGUAGCGGUGAAAUGCUUAGAUAUGUUACAGAACCCCGAUUGCGAAGGCAGCUUACCAGCAUGCAACUGACGCUGAGGCACGAAAGCGUGGGUAUCAAACAGG